rnacentral:rRNA from 1 species
AGCACUCCUAGGAGGCAGCAGUGGGGAAUAUUGCACAAUGGGCGCAAGCCUGAUGCAGCCAUGCCGCGUGUAUGAAGAAGGCCUUCGGGUUGUAAAGUACUUUCAGCAGUGAGGAAGGUGGGUAUGUUAAUAGCAUAUUCAUUUGACGUUAGCUGCAGAAGAAGCACCGGCUAACUCCGUGCCAGCAGCCGCGGUAAUACGGAGGGUGCGAGCGUUAAUCGGAAUUACUGGGCGUAAAGCGCAUGCAGGUGGUUUGUUAAGUCAGAUGUGAAAGCCCGGGGCUCAACCUCGGAAUUGCAUUUGAAACUGGCAAACUAGAGUACUGUAGAGGGGGUAGAAUUUCAGGUGUAGCGGUGAAAUGCGUAGAGAUCUGAAGGAAUACCGGUGGCGAAGGCGGCCCCCUGGACAGAUACUGACACUCAGAUGCGAAAGCGUGGGGAGCAAACAGGAUUAGAUACCCUGGUAG